rnacentral:tRNA from 1 species
GCAUUUGUGGUUCACUGGUGGAAUUUUCGUCUUCCAUGCAGUAGAUCUGGGUUUGAUUCCCAGCCAAUGCA